UACGGGGGGGGCAAGCGUUGUUCGGAAUUACUGGGCGUAAAGGGCGCGUAGGUGGCCAACUAAGUCAGACGUGAAAUCCCUCGGCUUAACCGGGGAACUGCGUCUGAUACUGGAUGGCUUGAGUUUGGGAGAGGGACGCGGAAUUCCAGGUGUAGCGGUGAAAUGCGUAGAUAUCUGGAGGAACACCGGUGGCGAAGGCGGCGUCCUGGACCAAUACUGACACUGAAACGCGAAAGCCUGGGGAGCAAACGGG
rnacentral:rRNA from 1 species